GAUGAACGCUGGCGGCGUGCCUAAUACAUGCAAGUCGAGCGAACGGACGAGAAGCUUGCUUCUCUGAUGUUAGCGGCGGACGGGUGAGUAACACGUGGAUAACCUACCUAUAAGACUGGGAUAACUUCGGGAAACCGGAGCUAAUCCCGGAUAAUAUUUUGAACCGCAUGGUUCAAAAGUGAAAGACGGUCUUGCUGUCACUUAUAGAUGGAUCCGCGCUGCAUUAGCUAGUUGGUAAGUUCACGGCUUACCAAGGCAACGAUGCAUAGCCGACCUGAGAGGGGGAUCGGCCACACGGGAACUGGGACACGGACAAGACGCCUACGGGAGGCAGCAGUAGGGAAUCGUCCGCAAUGGGCGAAAGCCUGACGGAGCAACGCCGCGUGAGUGAUGAAGGUCUUCGGAGCGUAAAACUCUGUUAUUAGGGAAGAACAGAUGUGGAAGUAACUGUGCACAUCUUGACGGUACCUAAUAAGAAAGCCACGGCUAACUACGUG
rnacentral:rRNA from 1 species